UAGUUCAGUGGCAGUUUGAAGGUGUUGAUCAAGAUGAGAUUCGAAGUUUUAUCAAUCCUGUUCCUGGCGAUAACAAGUUUUUCGCAGAGGACUAGGGACAGUAAACAAAUAGAAUCUAGAACCACAGUAGUUUCUUGCAGAGUAUUCCGCCAGGGAGUUUGUAAGAAAAGUUCUGAAAAUAUUAUCACUGUCAACAGAAGUAUCACAAGUAGGAA